rnacentral:rRNA from 1 species
UGGGGAAUAUUGGUCAAUGGGCGAAAGCCUGAACCAGCAAUGCCGCGUGAGUGAUGAAGGCCUUAGGGUUGUAAAGCUCUGUCAGGGGGAACGAAAAAUCGGUGUAACACCCGAUCUUGACGGUACCCUCAAAGGAAGCACCGGCUAACUCUGUGCCAGCAGCCGCGGUAAUACAGAGGGUGCAAGCGUUGUUCGGAAUUACUGGGCGUAAAGCGAGUGUAGGCGGCCUUUUAAGUCAGAUGUGAAAUCCCUUGGCUCAACCAAGGAACUGCAUCUGAUACUGGAAGGCUUGAGUAUCGGAGGGGAUGGUGGAAUUCCUGGUGUAGAGGUGAAAUUCGUAGAUAUCAGGA